rnacentral:lncRNA from 9 species
UACACAGCCAAAAAAAAAAAAAAAAAAGAUAGAAGAAAAGUAGAAUAGAGGUGCAUUGGGCUGUAAAUUAAUUAAAAUUUUAUUUUUCUGGAUUUUGUGAUAUUUAUGGUAUUUCUUUGCUUUUUUUUUUUUUUUUUUUGGUCUUUUUAGGGGCACACCCACGGCAUAUGGGUGUUGAAUUGGAGCUAUAGCUGCCGGUCUAUAUCACAGCUACACAAUGCAGGAUCCAAGCCAAGUUUGUGACCUAUAUAGCUCAUGGCAACGCUGGAUCCUUAACCUACUGAGCAAGGCCAGGGAUCGAACCUGCAACCUCAUGGUUCCUAGUCAGAUUCAUUUCCACUGUUCUACGACAGGAACUCCUGAUAGAAUAUACUCUUGGCUGUUGGAGUCACUCUUACUGGGGGAGGGUGGGCUCACAUAUAUGCACCUGAAGCCAACCUUGAUACUGAUGAAGAGGAUGUGGAAGGUAGAGAAAAGGAAAGGCAUUGAACAGAAGGGCAGAGAGCAAUGCCUGGGAGAAGCCCAGAGAUGGCCCAGUGUGCCCACCAGAGGCCAAUUUGUCUGUGUAGUAGAAUAAUGGGAGAUAAGGUUGGGAGGUUGGUGGGGGCCAGACAAUAGGCACCUUAAAAGAAAUUGAAUGCCACUAGCCUGGUGGCAACCUUCAAUAAGUUGCUUUCUCUCUCCUGGCAUGAGAUUUACUUGGAUCAGAACCUUUUAAUCUGAAGUUCAUGGACAGAUUUCAUGGAGUCGAAGAACCUCCUGCCAAAUCAUGUAAGAUUUCUGUCUAUGUGUAUUUUUCUGAAGAGAGGUCCACAACUCCCAUCAGACUCUCUAAGAGGUCAGUGUUCCCAAAGAGUUAAACGUCACUGCCCCAGAGGCUUCCAGCAAGAAGAAUCUCUCACUCACUUAAUUAUGUGGGCUGGAAAGAGCCUUUGAUGUUUUGGGAAGCAGGGGAGUGAACAGAGUAAAAUUAAAGCUUUAGGUAUCCAAAAAUUUAAAAAAAAUUGAUAACAAAUAUUGAAAAGCACAAAAAAUUUAAAAAAUAUGUAUAUCUCCAAGUUUAAUAUAUCUAUAUAUCUGGAUACAGAUAUGUAAAUAUUUCCUAGUUUUAUAUUUGUUCAUGUCAUAUAUUUAUUAAUGAAGCUUGAUUAUAU